CCCUACGGGGCGCACCAGGGUUCCACGAGGGUCCCGUCGCCGGUGACCUUUGAAGGCGGAGAGCCCGGCGAGCGAAUUUCCACCUCGCCGGAGGCCCAGGCAGCCGGGAAAAACAUGAUCGCCACAAUCGGCAGGAAUCUGCGGAGGCCCGUCAUACCUUUUCCUCCCGCGGCACUUUUUCCGGCGAAUUGACGACCUUGAUGCCCCACAUCUGGCAGAAGUUUUCCACGUCGCGGCGAUGGUUGCCGGCAAACACUACCUGGUGAAAGCCCAACACAUCACGGGCGUCUUCCAUACGGUCCAUCUUGAUCUUCACAUCAGUGCGGCAGCCGCCGGCGGGGGGGC
rnacentral:rRNA from 1 species